UAGGGAAUCUUCGGCAAUGGGGGCAACCCUGACCGAGCAACGCCGCGUGAGUGAAGAAGGUUUUCGGAUCGUAAAGCUCUGUCGUAAGAGAAGAACGUGUGUGAGAGUGGAAAGUUCACACAGUGACGGUAACUUACCAGAAAGGGACGGCUAACUACGUGCCCG
rnacentral:rRNA from 1 species